UUCCAUUUGAGAAGGGUGCUCCUCUCUCCCCGCUUUCGCCCAAUGAUCCCUGGAGGCCAUUGUGACAUCCAUUGUGUGGCAACACAGGUAAUCAAACUUAGUAAAAAACAACAUUAUACUUAAGGUAGGUUUAACAAAUGUUACGUUUACUAAUGAGUCCUUUCCUGUAAUCACAGCUUUGGAAGCCAGGCGGAGUGUCAGUGAGAGGAGCUGAAGAGAGAGAACGCAGGUAAAACCGAUACAGAAAAGGAGUAUUGUUUUCCAGUCAGAAGUGCUGCACCGAGAAGGUGUUUAUACCUGCUGUUAACAUGCGCCCUCAUCUUGUCUUU
rnacentral:lncRNA from 1 species